rnacentral:rRNA from 1 species
AUUGAACGCUGGCGGCAGGCCUAACACAUGCAAGUCGAACGAGUGGCGGACGGGUGAGUAAUGUCUGGGAAACUGCCUGAUGGAGGGGGAUAACUACUGGAAACGGUAGCUAAUACCGCAUACCAUCGGAUGUGCCCAGAUGGGUUUAGCUAUUAGGUGGGGUAAAGGCUCACCUAGGCGCCGAUCCCUAGCUGGUCUGAGAGGAUGACGAGCCACUCUGGAACUGAGAAACGGUGCGAUCUCCUGAGGGAGGCAUCAGGGGGGAAGAUUGCACAAUGGGCGCAAGCCUGAUGCAGCCAUGCCGCGUGUAUGAAGAAGGCCUUCGGGUUGUAAAGUACUUUCAGCGGGGAGGCGUUACCCGCAGAAGAAGCACCGGCUAAAUCCGUGCCAGCAGCCGCGGUAAUAC